rnacentral:lncRNA from 1 species
AUUCGACCAGUGUUUUCCAAGCACCUCGCACGAGCCAGGAACUGCUUGUGCUUUGGGACUGAAACGGCCACAACAUGGGCCACAGGCUCUGUCCCCGAGCAGCUUCCAGGUGGGGUGACUUGGAGGAUGUGUCCUGUGGGGGGUGAGGACCUCAGGACUGCCUGUGGGAAGGGGGAGGAGGCUGUCAAACUGCGUCUCUGGGGAAGGUCUUCCCAAGAAGGCAGCCUCUCAACAGACACCCUGCAAAGGGGGCGAGAAGCCAGCGUGUGCUCAGGGACAGCCAGAGGCUGGGUGCUGGAGGGGCAGGAGGUGAGCCUGGAGGGUGCGGGGGGAGGGGCCCACCUCUAGGGCCUCUGUAGGAUCUUGGCCUUGCCCCUGCCCUCCCCUGCACUGAGAUGGGUUUUGAGCAUGGGUGACCAAGGCUCACCAAGAAAGGAGUGCAGAGGUCAAGGUCGAGGGCAGUGACUUGGCUUCUCCGAGCCCCACUUUCCUCUUCCGCGCACAAGAUGACGACGACGGUGCCCGCUCACAGCUUUCUUGUGUAAAGAAACGUGUAACUGGGUGAAAUAACACAGGCGGUGCGCUUGCCUUCGUGUCUGCUCCAAGGAUGCGCCCCCGACCCGCGUCACUCCCACGGCUCGCUGCUUGCUGCCUGUUACCGACGACUCGCACUCAGCACCCAGCACCUUUACUCUGCGUACCUUAAACACACCCCCGAGUGUCCCCGUCUUCCCCGGAGGUGGGAGGGGAGGACGGACCUGCUGGAGCUCCUCGGGAAGCCCCCGGCAUGAGGGACGCUGGGGGCAUCACUACAAACUCCCACUGGUUCCCUCAGACCUAAACUAACCCCCGGGGACUGCGGCGGGCAGAGUAACGGCCCCUGGAGACGCCCCCAGCCGGGGCCGGGCUGCUUCACGGGCCGACGGCGGCAGGGUAGCAGGUGGUCGCUCAUCGGCUGCUGUGAGGCGUGCAGAGCCACCUGCAGUCGCUGGGGUCCUUGGACACCGGCGAGGGAGGCAGGCGGAAGAGCAUCUGGGAUGGGAGGACUCAGCGGGCUCUCGGCGGCACUCGCUCGGCCGGGGACAGAGGACGGCCCCGGGGCUGAGGAACACGGCAGCUCCGGGAGCGGAAAGGGCAGGGAAAGGGAUUCUCCCCGGAGCCUCCAGAAGGAACGCGGCCCUGCUGACAUCUCGAUUUUCGUCCAAUGAGACUCAUUUCGGACUUCCGACUUCCAGACGUGUAAGGACACCCCUUCCUCGGAGUAAAUGCUACGGAACUACAUGGGUCGGGGUUGAAUCCACGGAUUCAGAAUCUCAAAUACGGGUGAGGGGGCGACAUACGUUAUGCAAGGAUCUCCACCUGGGAGGCGGGUAGAUGCCCAACCCCUCCUGUGCAACUGUGUUAAAACUGCUCCGCCCACGGCGACUGGAGCACGCGUGCCCACGUGUGGCCGGGACUCUGAUGGGAGGGGCACUUUCUCCUCUGGCGGCAGGACUUUUCUCGCAUGGACAGAAAAUAAGCGACAGCGUCCGCCUGCCUCUGCUGGGUUCUUCCGGGGCACUUAUGCCCUCUGCUCGGGAGGCCCGCACGUGUAGGUGAAUGUCGUGGACAGUGCAUCGUGGGAGGCCAGAGAAGUGGCGGAAGGGGAGAGAUGCCUCCACCUAGUGCCGUGCCGAGACCUCGGAAGUGAUUCCUUCCUCGAUUCUGGUCCAGUGAAGACUCUCCAACUGGUCCUUACACACCCACGGCCAUGGCCAAGCACACGGAAUUAAGCCAUAGCUCGGGUCAGAAAAUUCCUUCAGGCUGGUGGUGAGUUGAAAUGCACCCCCAAAUCUGUAUUCUGAAGGUCGAACCCCAGUUCCUAGGACGUGGGCUUACUUGGAUCAAGAUCAUUGCAGAUGUCAGGAGGAAGAUGAGGUCCAACCUGGGGGAAGUGGAUGCUACUCCAGUGUCACCGCUAUCCUUAUAAAAAGGGGAAAUCUGGACGCAGCACACACAGAAAUGACACCGUGUGAAGAGGAAGCCAGAGGUGGAGGUGACGUUUCUAUCAACGGAGGAAAACCCAGAUGGCCAGCAGCUACCAGAGGCUGGGAGAGUCCCGGGUCAGAUUCUCGAAGCCGCAGAAGGAACCACCCGGGUCUCAAACUUCCAGCCUCCAGAUUCAGAUAAUGAGCUCCUACGGGCUAAGCCCUGGCCUGCAGGAUUUCGUCAUGACCCCAGCAAACUACCGCAGGCCUCUUUCCCCAGGUCGUGGUUGACCCACCAGCUUGGCUUCCGAGCAGAUUGCUCCUCUCCUGGCAGCGUUGGGGUCUGGAGCCUGGAUUUCCACCACCCCUUUCCGUUCUGACUCAGGGUUCCCACCCACUCCCUUUGGUGCCAACUUCCCGUAGCAAACUCACAUCCUCUCUGAGUCCCACUUUCCAAUCUUCAGGUAGAACAAGCCACCCUCUCCUUCCACUCUGCCCCCUGACCCGUCCAUACCAGCUUUUUCACGCCUUCUGGUCUCAGGACCUCUUUCACACAAACCCCAGUGCAAGCACCGUAUCUCCAGAGACUGACUGCAGAGGCAUCUUUGAAGAUCCACUGUCUGCUAUGAAGCCAGACAUUAAAGAGGUUUGCAAAAUGUAAACCAAUGCCACUCUCUAAUUUUUUUGUUUUUGAAAACAUAGUUAUUUUUCAUGGCAAUAUGUUGUUUAUACUUAUACAUAAUAAGUUUAUUACUGUUCUUUUAGAUGAAUUCAUAAGUGGUUUUAAAUUUUUGCAAAGUUAAUUUUGAACAUGAUUAUAUGUCAAUAUUAAUAGAUAAAAUA